GAUAUUCUUCGAAGCCCCGCCUAUUCACUCUGGUGACAAAUGCGCUUUACCACCUCCAGACCGGUAGGUGGCGGUAAUGAUCACAAACGGCCCACAGAAGAAACCCUAAAAGCUAGCAGACAAAUGUAGCAGCAGCAGCGCUGUAAACCAUCACCAGGCUGUGGAAACUUUAUUCUCCUCAACAACUUGGUGGAGUUCUUUCCAGAACCAGAGAAGAUAUUCUGCGGUCUUCGUGACAAUCGGAGCUCCAGAAUCAGGUUGUGGUGGCUGAGCGGAGAGCUGACCAGGAACAACGGUGGUGGCAAAACCCAGUUGGGUCUGUGAUGGAAUGAUGCACGCCUGGAGUGAUUGCCAUCUCAUCCACAGGUUCUAACAUCAGGCAGAGGGAUACUCGUGUCCUGAAGAAACCUGCAGCCUGUUGAACCCACUGAAAAACAGCUGUACGGCCUUUUUGAUUGUCUGUUUACUCCAUUUAAUGCCUCUUGUGUUUUUCAUGCCUUUUUGACUUUCUAUUUCCUCCCUUAGGUUUUCC
rnacentral:lncRNA from 1 species